rnacentral:rRNA from 1 species
AGAUUGGUACAUCAGUCCCAAAGACAAUGUUCAUUGGGAUAUAAUUUAAUAUUCAAACAUCUUUGACAAAUUAUAAUUUUGUGUUAUACUAUAAACAUGAAAAUUACAAAGAAACUUCAAGAAGAACUCGUCGUUUUUAAUCGGCAUUAUCGUAAACCUCAACAUGAAAGACCUUUGACCAUUGAAGAGUACGUAAAAUACAUUCAUGGCAAAGGUCUUCCCACGACUAAAACAAAAACCAAACCUAAAAAAUUAAAAGCCGCAGGAAUACCCAAUUGGGCAUUUAAUCCGUAUGAUAUCCCAUCAGGUGAUCAAACUGAUCACAUUGCAACUAGAAAUUCUAUUAUGGAUAGAUUGCAUCUUGAAUCUGAAGAAACAAAACAAGAAAUUUUAAAGAAAAAGAAUAGAAUUGCGCUGCCAUAUUCAAAAGGUGCAUAUCAAUACGUUAAUGAUGAGUCUAUAGUCACCUGUUUGGGACGUAAACUUUAGUUCUUGCUCUGCUUCGUUAAAUGAAUAAAUAAUUUAUUGAUAUUAACGGAGAUUAAAGAUGGCUUUAAGAAUUAGAAGAGGUACUGAUGCUCAACGUGCAGUUCUUACCUUUGAUCAAGGCGAAAUUGUUUGGACUACAGACAGUCAUAAAUUAUAUGUUGUAAUGGAUGGGGUGCCCGCAAGGGAAUCGAGUGAGAGGUGCUGCAUGGCUGUCGUCAGCUCGUGUUGUGAAAUGUUGGGUUAAGUCUCGCAACGAGCGCAACCCCUAUCGUCUGUUGCCAGCAUUAAGUUGGGCACUCUGACGAGACUGCCUGGGUUAACCAGGAGGAAGGUGGGGAUGACGUCAAGUCCUCAUGGCCCUUAUGUCUAGGGCUACACACGUAAUACAAUGGCGCGUACAGAGGGAAGCGAACUCGCAAGGGGGAGCAAAUCUCAAAAAGCGCGCCUCAGUUCGGAUUGGAGUCUGCAACUCGACUCCAUGAAGUUGGAAUCGCUAGUAAUCGGAGAUCAGCACGCUCCGGUGAAUACGUUCCCGGGCCUUGUACACACCGCCCGUCACACCAUGGGAGUUGUUUUCAUUUUAAGACGUGACUCUAACCGCAAGGAGGAGAGCGUCUACGGUGGGAGCGAUGACUGGGGUGAAGUCGUAACAAGGUAGCCGU